rnacentral:tRNA from 1 species
GCCUUCGUGGUGUAGUGGUCAGCACAUUCGAUGCGUAACCAAGAAGUCUGUGGUUCGAUUCCCGGCUGAGGCG